rnacentral:rRNA from 1 species
UACGGAGGAUCCAAGCGUUAUCCGGAUUCAUUGGGUUUAAAGGGUGCGUAGGCGGAAUGAUAAGUCAGCGGUGAAAUCCCUCGGCUUAACCGAGGAACUGCCGUUGAUACUGUCAAUCUUGAGUACAUUUGAUGUGGGCGGAAUGUGUCAUGUAGCGGUGAAAUGCUUAGAUAUGACACAGAACACCGAUUGCGAAGGCAGCUCACAAAACUGUACUGACGCUGAGGCACGAAAGCGUGGGUAUCAAACAGG